UAAUAGCUGAGUCCAGACACAUCUACAAAAAAAACGGGGCGUUACUGCGAAGCCAUAUUAGUAUUAUAAUA
rnacentral:ncRNA from 1 species